CGGUUGGCACUCGAUCCACCCCGGUCCCUCGACCUCCGGGGCCUCGUGCCCCCGGGGGAGUCUCGUCUGCGUUGCCUGUGCUGCCUACCCGUCCCCCCGAAGGGGAAACGGUCGGCUUGCAGUGUCCCACUUCCAUCCGGUGCCUCGCAAGGGGCUUCCCGGAGGACCGAGGAGUAGCUCCCGCGUUCCGGUUGCCGACCGGUGAUCUCGGCCCGCGGGUGGCUACUGCUCUCUCGGAUGCGGUGCAUGCUGUGGACUCGGGGGCCGCGUCCCCCGGACGUCCCGAACGAACGAACGAAUCGACUCGAUUCUCCAGGCAGACGGCCGCGACCGGGGCGAGAGCGCCGGCCGCGAACGUCGCGGAGGGUUGCUACCUGGUUGAU
rnacentral:misc_RNA from 1 species